AUCGUCCACAAAACUCAGCGAGCUCCAUCAGCUCUGCCAUCUGAGAGGAUAUACUGGCACCAUGACUCUCGGCUCACCUUGGCACCAAGGUCAGGAGGACAAAGACUGGAAAAUGAUGAAAAUUAUUCAACUUGACCACGGCAAAAAUUUCACAACAUGCCUGAUGACACAAGCAAGUUCUCCCCCAUGGGCUGCUUCACUAAGUAUUAAAGCAAAGCAGAAAAGCAAAGAAUAAACAUUUAAGAUCUCCUUUUCUUCGAGACUCUUGGGAUUUAUCACUUCCCAAGGGCUGCGCUUCUGCACAGCCAUCUGGAGGAGAUGAGAUGACAUUCCUGAAGAACCUGCGCUCAAAAUGGACAACUGCUUUUUACAUCCUGACACAACAAUUUACAUACUUUAUUUCAAGGAGCAAUGAGUCCCAAACUGACUUUGUAAUAAAUUAAAGUUUCUUGACUCCUUGAAAUACACAUUGUGUUGCUUUUGAUGGUGUUUUAAAUUGUGUUUGUGGUAAAUAAAGACGUACAGGAUGUCUCUUGUU
rnacentral:lncRNA from 1 species